GGUAAGUCCCGCAACGAGCGCAACCCCUAUUGUUAGUUGCCAUCAUUCAGUUGGGCACUCUAGCGAGACUGCCGGUAAUAAACCGGAGGAAGGUGGGGAUGACGUCAAAUCAUCAUGCCCCUUAUGACCUGGGCUACACACGUGCUACAAUGGUUGGUACAACGAGUUGCGAGUCGGUGACGGCGAGCUAAUCUCUUAAAGCCAAUCUCAGUUCGGAUUGUAGGCUGCAACUCGCCUACAUGAAGUCGGAAUCGCUAGUAAUCGCGGAUCAGCACGCCGCGGUGAAUACGUUCCCGGGCCUU
rnacentral:rRNA from 1 species